rnacentral:rRNA from 1 species
GGUAUUGUGCACCCGAUCGACUGUGGUAACACAGCCUGUAUUGGUGCUGCGCAUGCCAUCCUGUCAGUUAACUAGACGUACUUAACUGUGCGGUUAGUGAUCUGGCUCGUUUACUUUGAAAAAAUUAGAGUGUUUAAAGCAGGCUUGCGCCUUGAAUACAUUAGCAUGGAAUAAUAAUUUAGGACUUCUUCCUAUUUUAUUGGUUUCUAGGGAUGAAGUA